rnacentral:lncRNA from 14 species
CUGAAGAUGAUUCUAAAUACCCAUAGAGAUGGACCCUGGAGUCUGCUGAGCUCUAAGUAAUUAAGAUGCUUUUGUCCAGUAAAAUACUUAGAGUAGAAUACUUAGAGUAGAAUGUAAUAGAUUUGGAAAAUAGAACAAGGAAAGAAGAGAACAGUAAACAGGGCUGAGAUUUAAAACAAAACCAAAAACUCAAAUUCAAAACAUCCUCAGUAUUUAUCCUGCUGCAAUCAACAGCUUCUCUCUGUGUGUCACAGGUAUAAACAAAUGUCUCUGGCAGCUGAGCAAGAAUGGAUACUGGAGCAGAAUAAAGUGCAGGUGGAACUGGACUGGCAGCACCUCUGCAAGAAUGCAGAAAGUAACUGGUAUCAGAAAUCAGAGGAUGUAACACAAAGUCUGUCUUCAGCAAGAGAGCAGAUGUUUCAGUAUGAUGAUGCAAUUCCUCUAAGCAAAAAUAUUCCUACCUUGGAAAUAAAAAGGCUUCAGGAGCAGAAUGCCAGUCUUCGGGCUGCUGUUGCACAAAUGAGGAAAGAAAUGGAGAGUCUUGAUAAGCAGAUGUCCUCUCUUCCUUUGACAGAAAAUGGACAGCUUGCAGAGCAAGGUUUAUUGUGCACAAACAAAAUUUCAACUGGAACCACUUUGAGCAAUACCAAAGUCAGCUCAGUUAACUUGGAUUGUAUGGCAAACCCAGGCAUAGAAAAGGAAUCAAAAGCCAAAGUUAUUGAAGAAAAGAUGGUAGAUCUUGGACAACAGUUUCCUGACAUAGGUCCUGGUGUCGGUCUUCAGUGUGGUGUCAGCGGCACUCUACAAGGAGUGCAAAAUAAACUGAGGGAAGCAGCAAGACAAAUUUCUAUUCUGAGUGAGGAGAAGCAGCAGCUGAUUGAAAUGGGAAAUGGACUCAGAGCAGAACUCAGAACGGUAUUGAAGGAAGGUAAAUUUAUUAUACAGAAAACUGCAAGCUUAUGUAUUUAGAAUAAAACCUGGGAAUCAGUUAAUCCUUUGAGCUUU